ensembl:lncRNA
AUUUUUGGAGAUUUAAAUAUGCAAAAUGUGGCUUCUUGAGUGCCUGUACUUUGGAUUCCAUCAGUGGAUUUCAUAAGAACUGAACAUAUAUAUGAAACCUGCUCUUCACUCGUGGACUGAUUCCUCCAGGCUGAACAUUCUCCACAUGAGUCAUUUCUCCUGAACACACCUGCCCCUGGAAUAGGCGUGACUCGUCAUCCGCGCCCUCCCCGCGGUGCCUGGGGGACGCACACCGCCAGUGUCUGUCAGGGGGAGAUUGGGUUGCAACCAUAUAGAGGAAUAAAAAAAAAAAUGGCUGGGCU